rnacentral:rRNA from 1 species
CCAGCAGCCGCGUAAUCCAGCUCAAUAGCGUAUAUUAAGUUGUUGCAGUUAAAAGCUCGUAGUUGAAUUUCGGGGUUAGUAGAUUGGUCGUGCCACUGGUAUGCACUGGUCUUACUGAUUCCUCCUUCCUGAUGAACCGUAAUGCCAUUAAUUUGGUGUUNCGGGGAGACUGGACUGUUACUUUGAAAAAAUUAGAGUGUUUAAAGCAGGCUAACGCUUGAAUACAUUAGCAUGGAAUAAUGAAAUAGGACGUUCGAUCCUAUUUUAGUUGGUUUCUAGGGAUUGACGUAAUGAUUAAUAGGGAUAUUGGGGGGCAUUAGUAUUCAAUUGUCAGAGGUGAAAUUCUUGGAUUUAUUGAAGACUAACUACUGCGAAAGCAUUUGCCAAGGAUGUUUUCAUUAAUCAAGAACGAAAGUUAGGGGAUCGAAGACGAUCAGAUACCGUCGUAGUCUUAACCAUAAACUAUGCCGACUAGGGAUCGGAUGAUGUUAAUUUUUUAAUGACUCAUUCGGCGCCUUACG